CUACGGGGGGCUGCAGUGGGGAAUAUUGCACAAUGGGCGCAAGCCUGAUGCAGCCAUGCCGCGUGUAUGAAGAAGGCCUUCGGGUUGUAAAGUACUUUCAGCGGGGAGGAAGAGAGUAAAGUUAAUACCUUUGCUCAUUGACGUUACCCGCAGAAGAAGCACCGGCUAACUCCGUGCCAGCAGCCGCGGUAAUACGGAGGGUGCAAGCGGUAAUCGGAAUUACUGGGCGUAAAGCGCACGCAGGCGGUUUGUUAAGUCAGAUGUGAAAUCCCCGGGCUCAACCUGGGAACUGCAUCUGAUACUGGCAAGCUUGAGUCUCGUAGAGGGGGGUAGAAUUCCAGGUGUAGCGGUGAAAUGCGUAGAGAUCUGGAGGAAUACCGGUGGCGAAGGCGGCCCCCUGGACGAAGACUGACGCUCAGGUGCGAAAGCGUGGGGAGCAAACAGGAUUAGAUACCCGGGUAGUC
rnacentral:rRNA from 1 species